GCCAACACUGGGACUGAGAACUGCCCAGACUCCUACGGGAGGCUGCAGUCGAGAAUCAUUCGCAAUGGGCGAAAGCCUGACGAUGCGACGCCGUGUGAGCGAAGAAGGCCUUAGGGUCGUAAAGCUCUUUCGCUUGGGAACAAGAAAAAGUGGCUAAUACCCACUGGAUUUGAGCGUACCAGGUAAAGAAGCACCGGCUAACUCCA
rnacentral:rRNA from 1 species